rnacentral:rRNA from 1 species
AUGAACGCUGGCGGCGUGCCUAAUACAUGCAAGUCGAGCGAACAGACGAGGAGCUUGCUCCUCUGACGUUAGCGGCGGACGGGUGAGUAACACGUGGAUAACCUACCUAUAAGACUGGGAUAACUUCGGGAAACCGGAGCUAAUACCGGAUAAUAUAUUGAACCGCAUGGUUCAAUAGUGAAAGACGGUUUUGCUGUCACUUAUAGAUGGAUCCGCGCCGCAUUAGCUAGUUGGUAAGGUAACGGCUUACCAGGCAACGAUGCGUAGCCGACCUGAGAGGGUGAUCGGCCACACUGGAACUGAGACACGGUCCAGACUCCUACGGGAGGCAGCAGUAGGGAAUCUUCCGCAAUGGGCGAAAGCCUGACGGAGCAACGCCGCGUGAGUGAUGAAGGUCUUCGGAUCGUAAAACUCUGUUAUUAGGGAAGAACAAAUGUGUAAGUAACUAUGCACGUCUUGACGGUACCUAAUCAGAAAGCCACGGCUAACUACGUG